rnacentral:rRNA from 1 species
UACGUAGGGGGCAAGCGUUGUCCGGAUUUAUUGGGCGUAAAGAGCGUGUAGGCGGUUUGGUAGGUCCGUUGUGAAAACUCGAGGCUCAACCUCGAGACGCCGAUGGAAACCAUCAGACUAGAGUCCGGAAGAGGAGAGUGGAAUUCCUGGUGUAGCGGUGAAAUGCGCAGAUAUCAGGAGGAACACCGGUGGCGAAGGCGGGUCUCUGGGCCGGAACUGACGCUGAGGAGCGAAAGCGUGGGGAGCGAACAGG